UUUUUUUUUUUUUUAGAAAUUUCGCUAUAGUUGACAUUGUCUUCGCGGACCUUGCAAGAGAUCACAAGUUACUACAGUCCAAUUUUGUCUCCAAUCCACUGGUGUAGAUAUUCAGCACAUGAAUAGCUGAUCCAUCAAUGUUCACGUACAUUAUGAAAUAAAACGCAGUGUAAGAACAAAUGUAACGUUUUUUAAUAAAAUCGACGAAUCGUGAUUUGAGCUAGUGAUACAGUUUUCAUCAAUAUUGUGUAAUGAUUUUUCAGAAUUUGAUCUCAACAAGGUUUAAUCAUAAGAAUUGUUCGGUGUAUACCUUUAACAACAUUCAUCAUCUUCAGUUCAACAGGGGUGGGGGGGGGGGGGCAAAGGUCCUAGAUUUAAAACUUUUUUGCCAGUGGGAAUAUUAAUGUAGUUCAAAACAUCUACUUGGUUGAUUAUUUUUAUUUGUCAUUUUCAUAUUUAUGAAACAUACUUUACAUAUGUAUAACAUUGUCUUAAAUACUGUCCAUAUUCCAGGAAAUUUCUUGACCCUAGCUCAACACAACUUAAACACCAGCAUUUAUAAUAUGACGUAGGGAAUUCUAAAUAAUAAAGUUAUUUCACUAAGCCAGUCCAUUAUGUUUUAGAUUGGCAAUUAGUAUUCCACGCUGUUAAAGGUAACGGGAAAGAUGUCAAAAAUGCCUGGACUACGAAUUCUUCAUCAGACUCCCCCUGUACCCCAGAUUCUGGCUGCAUUCCACCCGGAUUUAGUCUACAUUACUGGAAAGAUACCACGAAACAUCUCCGGAGUCCCUUAAUCGAUCAAUGGGAUUAUAUCAGUAUUCUGAAAAUCCGAGUGGUGCUUGGUGGACAAGGGAAAACAUUAGCAUUCUUGGAAUUUGAUGGGAGUGGAAGUGACAACCUAAACUGGUUUAGCAAGUCCAGACUUCUCCAUAGUAGUUGGUCCGAUCUCAAGACCGCCAACACUAACUACUUCUCUAUUGAAGGACACGACUCAGACGCCCCAUACCAUCUCAGAAGACACUUUUAUGUCAAUCAACUGUAUGCCGGAUGCCCUAAUGAUACUGGAUGGUUUGUAGUUUUAGACAAGACUGAUGAAGUAUGUCCAUGGGCAAGAAAAGGAAACUUCCCCGUGUUUUUGUUCAGCACGGGCUCACAAGUUGCUAACU